GUUUUAUGGUCGAAUAAAGAUCCCAAGCAGCUUGUCAGAGAUGUUGCAGCCGAUCUCCUGAAAUUAAAGCAAUGGUGUGAUUCCAAUCAACUUUGCUUAAAUAUGUCAAAGUCCCACAUUAUUGGUUUCAAUUUUCAAGCUGAGAGUCUUGAUUUUGGUGAGAACGCAUUGGACAUGGUAGACAAUUCUGCAUUUCUUGGUUUAGUCAUUGAUAAAGAUUUAAAGUUUUCUGACCAUAUAAUAAAGUUAAAUAAAAAACUUGCUUCUGGCUGCUUCUCUGUUAGGGCAACCGUUCAUGAACUGGGGAGAUAUGUUGCUCGUGAUGUGUACUUUGCUUUGUUCGAGUCGCAUUUAAGGUAUGCUCUUCCAUUUUGGGGUGCAUGUUCAAAUUAUCUGUUUCAGUCUGUUUUUGUGCUGCAAAAGAGGGCUGUCAGAAGUUUAUUUAGGGCCCAUUCUAGAAUGCAUUGUGGUAAUCUUUUCAAAGAGAGCCGUAUUUUGACCCUACCAUCAUUAUUUAUUUUGGAAACUGCAUGUUUAAUAUUCAAAAAUAAGAACAGUUUUCCAAUCCGACAUCACAGUUAUCCUACCAGACAGAUUAAUAAUAUUCCCCUUCCUAUUCCUCAUUUUACAUCUAUCAAAGAUUCAUUUAUAUAUCGCGGUUUAAUGAUUUAUAAUCACAUUAGCGUGGAAUUAAGAAGUGUUCAGUCUUUGCGCCAGUUUCGUUGUAAACUGAAGUCAUAUUUGCUUCUAAAAGCCUUUUAUUCGAUUGAAGACUUUUUUAAGGCUGAGGAUGUUGUGUAGUAGAUGCUAAGCUUUUAAUCUGUUAAUUUUAAUUUUGAACAUACCUUUAUGUGUCCCUUUAUCUCUGCUACCUUUGUCUACAUGCAUGUAUUUUAUUUUAUAAAGAUUUUGUUUGUAACAUUUUCUCUUGCAUUUUUUUUUUUAGGCAUUUUAUAUGUUGUAUAAAUUUUUUAUAUUUGUUUUGUAAAAUCUGAUUUGAUUGUAUUUAUUUUCUGAAGCUUUGUCAAUAAAAUUCGUGUACAUGUACCAAAUUUUCGACAAUAAAUUACUUGAAAAAAUAAGUAGAGGACCUUUGAUACAGUAUCGCACUACAUAUAAUGGAUGUUGGGAGUCAGCUUCGCUGCAAGGAAAAAACCGAAAGUCUUCGCGAUUAGCUGUUCGUCAUCUUCAAGACAACGAAUUUAUGCUACCUGAGUUAAGUUAUGAAGGGCAGCUUCCAAUAUCUGCUGAGAAGUUUCGGGACCUGCAGCAUUUAAAAAAGUUUUGCAACAAAGCAGCGCAAGACUUUUUUUUAAACCUGCCGCAUCACUAAUUAACGAAUUGGAAUAUUGUUUGGAGCCUUUCGCACUAACGACGAUUGAGGUUAUGAUUACUGUGAAAGAACAGGCUCAUUUCAAUAAAAUGGACUCCUUUUUCCCCUGUCACUUUUGUA